UACGGAGGAUCCAAGCGUUAUCCGGAUUUACUGGGCUUAAAGGGUGCGUAGGUGGGCAGGUAAGUCAGUGGUGAAAUCUCCGGGCUUAACCCGGAAACUGCCGUUGAUACUAUUUGUCUUGAAUAUUGUGGAGGUAAGCGGAAUAUGUCAUGUAGCGGUGAAAUGCUUAGAUAUGACAUAGAACACCAAUUGCGAAGGCAGCUUACUACACAAUGAUUGACACUGAGGCACGAAAGCGUGGGGAUCAAACAGG
rnacentral:rRNA from 1 species